GACGAACGCUGGCGGCGUGCUUAACACAUGCAAGUCGAACGGAAAGGCCCUGCUUGCAGGGUACUCGAGUGGCGAACGGGUGAGUAACACGUGGGUGAUCUGCCCUGCACUUCGGGAUAAGCUUGGGAAACUGGGUCUAAUACCGGAUAGGAGCCAUCUUUAGUGUGGUGGUUGGAAAGUUUUUUCGGUGUAGGAUGAGCUCGCGGCCUAUCAGCUUGUUGGUGGGGUGAUGGCCUACCAAGGCGGCGACGGGUAGCCGGCCUGAGAGGGUGUACGGCCACAUUAGGACUGAGAUACGGCCCAGACUCCUACGGGAGGCAGCAGUGGGGAAGAUUGCACAAUGGGCGCAAGCCUGAUGCAGCGACGCCGCGUGGGGGAUGAAGGCCUUCGGGUUGUAAACUCCUUUCGCUAGGGACGAAGCUUUGUUGUGACGGUACCUAGAUAAGAAGCACCGGCUAACUACGUG
rnacentral:rRNA from 1 species